CUCCUUCUCUUCAUCUCUUCUCCUCUUCCUCCCUCUCCAUCUUUUUCCCUACCUCCUCCUUUCUCCACUUCGGGCUCGCCGUGCCCCGUCUCCAUGAUUCGUGGCCACUACGCUUCGCCGGAGCAAGGUAAUGGUCCGUCUACUCCCUCAUUUUCCUCUCCGCUUUCCUUCUCUUUUCCGGCAUCGCCAUCCUCCUCCCUUUUGGGUGGCCGUUUCUCUGCGGCCGUGUCCUCGCCGGGCACCACCCCUUCCCCCGGCGGCUUUCCUUGCUCGAGA
rnacentral:lncRNA from 1 species